rnacentral:tRNA from 1 species
GAUGAAGUGCCUGACUAAAGGAUCAUUUUGAUAGAAUGAAAAAUGCAAUUUAAAUUGCCUUUAUUA